UCUAGAACUCAAGAUAUGAGCUGAAAACCGAACAGUGUUUGAGCUGCAGGACAGGUUCCGACUUCUCCGUUGUAGCUAAGAUUUGAACUUGAAAACGACAAAAUUGAGUCUUGGACCCUUCAUGAAAGUUUUAGGUCUAUGUCUUAUCUUUCCAUC
rnacentral:pre_miRNA from 1 species